ensembl:lncRNA novel transcript
AGAAGCACUCUAGCUACAGAUUAGAAUGAUGACAAGAGUAAUACCUUCCUAGUGAAGAUGACUUUUAUUUCAGGACUAUAUUAAGUUUCCCAACUUCUGUCAUGAUAUAGUCCAAAGAGAACCUGGACCACGCAGACAUCAAACAGAACAUGACACUGACCCAUUCUAUCAGUGACGUUGUGCUGAUUGCACAGGACAGAUGAGAGGCUCGUAUACUAGAAGUCUUGUUAUCCACAGAAGGAAUGAUCUGCAAUGUACACACGCCAGGACAGAAAUUCUACAGUUGCUGAUAAAAUGUAAACCUAUCACCCCACCACCAGGGUCCCUGCUUCUCCUGUAAGGGAAUCAUUAUAGAAAAAAAUUAAGAGGCUUGAGAAAAUCAGAAGUUCAUAAAGGAAGAAAGGAAAGAAAUUAUAGGAAGCAGGAAGAGCUCUGGGGAGCUGUUUUCGGGAGCAAAUAUCCAGAAUGAACACCUUGACUCAUGGCUGCAUCUGCAAGGAAGAUGGGACAUCCAUUCUCACUUGUACACAGGCUAUGGGUUGUCCGGAGCCCUGAGCUGAAGACAGGCCUGCUGCUGAUCCCAGAGACAGAUGGCCAGAGUUAGGAACAGCAUGCACAAAGAAGAUCCUAAGCCUUCCUGGAGAAGUGCCAAUAUCAUCAUUUGGGGGUCUUAAAGCCAAGCUGGGGAAUAAGCGUUAUGGGGAAUGCUGAGAAGGAGAUGUUUAAUCAAGUGUGUAGGUUUAGGACUUCAGUCAAAGGGCUGCUUUUUUGCUGCUCUCAGGCAGUUUUCACUGCAUGCCUUCACCUCUGGUAUCUUCAAAGCACUCCUUGGCUUGUGCCAUUAAUACUUUACCUAAGAUUUUUAGAAAUUCUGUCUGGUCAUAUGCUACAUCCUACUUGUAUUGAAAGAACCCUUAGGAUUUCCCCUUUAUUGCUAUACAUCUCUUUAAGUCUCUUAUCUUUAGAGACUAAAGUAAAAUUUGGUCCUUUAAUAAUCAUAAUAAACAGGUAAUCAUACU